rnacentral:rRNA from 1 species
UACGGAGGGUGGCAAGCGUUAUCCGGAUUCACUGGGUUUAAAGGGUGCGUAGGAGGGCAGGUAAGUCAGUGGUGAAAUCUCCGAGCUUAACUUGGAAACUGCCGUUGAUACUAUCUGCCUUGAAUAUUGUGGAGGUGAGCGGAAUAUGUCAUGUAGCGGUGAAAUGCUUAGAUAUGACAUAGAACACCAAUUGCGAAGGCAGCUCGCUACACAUAUAUUGACUCUGAGGCACGAAAGCGUGGGGAUCAAACAGG